rnacentral:rRNA from 1 species
ACGUAGGGUGCGAGCGUUAAUCGGAAUUACUGGGCGUAAAGCGUGCGCAGGCGGUUUUGUAAGCCAGAUGUGAAAUCCCCGGGCUUAACCUGGGAAUGGCAUUUGGGACUGCAAGGCUAGAAUCUGGCAGAGGGGGGUAGAAUUCCACGUGUAGCAGUGAAAUGCGUAGAUAUGUGGAGGAAUACCGAUGGCGAAGGCAGCCCCCUGGGUUGAGAUUGACGCUCAUGCACGAAAGCGUGGGGAGCAAACAGGAUUAGAUACCCUGGUAGUCCACGCCCUAAACGAUGUCAACUGGUUGUUGGGGAAUUGAUUUCCUUAGUAACGAAGCUAACGCGUGAAGUUGACCGCCUGGGGAGUACGGUCGCAAGAUUA